rnacentral:rRNA from 1 species
UACGGGGGGGGGCAAGCGUUGUUCGGAAUUACUGGGCGUAAAGGGCCAGUAGGCGGCCAACUAAGUCGGAUGUGAAAUCCCCAGGCUUAACCUGGGAACUGCAUCCGAUACUGGAUGGCUUGAAUUCGGGAGAGGGAUGCAGAAUUCCAGGUGUAGCGGUGAAAUGCGUAGAUAUCUGGAGGAAUACCGGUGGCGAAGGCGGCAUCCUGGACCGACAUUGACGCUGAACGGCGAAAGCUAGGGGAGCAAACGGG